CGUGGGUAAUCUACCCCCGAAUUUGGGAUAACACUUCGAAAGGGGUGCUAAUACCGGAUAACAUCAUAGUUUCUUCGGAGAUUAUGAUCAAAGGUGGCCUCUACAUGUAAGCUACUGUUUAGGGAUGAGCUCGCGUACCAUUAGCUUGUUGGUAGGGUAACGGCCUACCAAGGCUACGAUGGUUAGCUGGUCUGAGAGGAUGAUCAGCCACACUGGAACUGACACACGGUCCAG
rnacentral:rRNA from 1 species